UGCAAGCUAUGGACUGUCAUGAGUGUCUCAGAACUACAGAAUGGAAACAACUCACUAAAAUCCCAAAUGAAAGGGAUUUGGGACAGUAGAAGAUGGGAAGAGAAAGAAGAGAAACCAUCUCAGUCAAUAGGGAAAAAUAAACAAAUGUUAAUAUUCCAGCUGCUCUAUCUAUGAUCCUGCUCCCUAGCCCUUCAAGAGAAAGCGAAAUCAGUUACUUAAAUAUACUGUGGAAAAUUUCCAAUCUGUAGAUGGUGCAGCAGCCAAUGUAGAAUCCAGCUCCUUCUGAUUGUGAAUUCACAGAAGAAGCAGACCUGCGAAGGAGGAAGUGAGUGCCUUUACAGUCACUCUUCUGAUCAUCACAGAUGUGUGCUGACUCAUUGACUUCAUUGGAAUUGUCUAAAGUGCAAGCUGUGCCACAACGCCAUCCAGAACCGCUUGGUGAAAGCCAUCGCACCAGACAUGAGGGAGGUCGCAGUGAACUGCGACAUCCCUGGUACCGACAGCCAGCCGCGACCAGACGUGGUCGUCACUGACGAGGCCCAGAAAAAGAUCAUCCUUGUUGACGUCACCGUCUCCUUUGAGAAUGGGACUCCGGCCUUUCGUGAAGCCCGAGCUCGUAAGCUAGAAAAGUACGUUCCCCUGGCCGACACACUGAGAGUGAAGGGCUUCGAGGUGCAGAUGGACAUCCUGAUUGUCGGAGCCCUGGGCGCCUGGGACCCCUGCAACGCGCGUGUGCUGUGGAUCUGCAGGAUUGGUCAACAUUAUGCCCGGUUUAUGUGGUGCCUCAUGGUCUCAGACACCAUUCGAUGGUCCAAGGAUAUCUACAUCGAACACGUCACUGGCCACCGACAGUACCAGGAGGAGUGAGCCAGAACGAUACCAUGCAUCAACUACGAGAAAGGGACUGAGACUUUUUCCAUUGGACCAUAUGAACUGGAACCAUAAACUCACUGACCAUUAAAUCUAACCAAACAAGGCUAAAUCCAUCCUCAUCAUCGUAUCCACUCAUUAUACUCCACAUCCAAACAUAGCCAUUAUAUGAACUUCAUACCCUCAUAUCUCAAUGUCUGUACUUUGCCUCAACAACCUUUUACCCACAAUCGAGGAUAUUGCAAAUUAUGUAUUCCUUACAACACCUGAUCUUAAACCGAACUUCGCACCCUCAAUAAUCUGUACGCUAUUCCCUGAUAACCAGAAACUUCUACGCUUAAACUCUGUACUGUUCACUUUUUUAAAACAUCAUCUUAAUAAAAAAUUUAAAUCUGCAAGAUCAGUCCUUUAAGACCUGCUUCUGCUAAUCUGACCUGCAUGUGAUUCCUGCUUUUAACAAUGGGUAUUGUGUGUUUGAGAACUGCAGACUUUUUCUCCUCCUUUGAAAAACAGGAAAACAAAGGUGUUUGUAGGUCCUUUCCUCUGUCAUCAUUUCUGCUUUCCCUGUCCCAUCAGUUCUCAGAUCCAUAUAGAUUAACAUAAAAAUCAAGGCCACUUCUUGCUGCUAGUAAUGGGUCCUAAGAUGAGCAGGAAGGUAACCUACAAUUUUCGUGUUCACCCACAGAUGGCUCCUGCCCAUCUCAAACAACCCUUUUAACUAGCUAUGUAAUUGCCACUUGUAUCACUCUUAAGUAAGGAUUAGUAUUUUCAGUGAAGAAAAAUUAAGAUGAACAAUAACCUGCAUUAGCCAGUAUAACAGUACGUCCAGUUCCUUUCCUCUAUGCUCAGUCUGUUGUUAGAUCCCUAGUGCCCUGGUUGAAAUUCCAGUUCCCUUUCAACCUAGGUACUGCAAAACAAAGUUGUUAUGGACAAGUAAGCACUUAUCUUUACUUAUGGACCAGCCUCUGAGCAGUAAACAAAGCCAUUAACUUUAGACAAAAGUAAUAUCUCACCCUCAAAUUUGCAUAGUUUCCUAGAGGCAAAUUCUCUCUUCAGAGAUGCACGUGCAGUUCCCCUUCCACAAGAAAAUGGGAGUCGUGGGCAUAACUGUGAAAGCAGAAGUUUUUUCUAGCUGAGAGAAUUUCAGUGCAACUGCUUCAGUGAAUGGAAAUCAUGCAGUCUGGUUCUUCAAAGCCCUGCUUUUUCUAAGGUAGCCCGGAUGCCUCUGUUUGGUAUCUGAAGAAAGGAUAUAAUUCUCUGCCAGGCUGUGUGACCCAAGAACCUCUUAAUACCAAUUGACAAAGCAAGAGAAUGCAGAGAGGUUACAGGGAUCCCAUUGAGUCUCAUAUGUACAUUAUAGUUUACCAAAGAGUGCCAUGUGAGAUCUUACAUGAAAGCUGGUGGCACACUGGUCAUCAAUAUCAUUAUGAAAAGAAUGUACAGAUACCAUGUGACAAGUUACUUAUAUAAUAUGUUCUUAAAAGUGUGCGGGCAUGGGGCAGGGCAGGGCUUGGUCACCAGAAAAGGUGAAAAACAGUUUUUCUGUCUAUUGAGAUGUUUAUCCUUGUAUCUGUUUACAUGUAAAUUGAGUAUUGCCUCAACACAAUGGGCUUUUUAUCAGCAGUUUGAACUGAAUGCAAAAGAUUGCAAGAACUUCAGAAAGGUACUAACAGAAGGAGAAAUAAAGCAGGGGAAAGAACCUUAUCUUGAGGUCUACAUCGAAGAUAUGCUUGAGUGUAUUUGGGGGGCAGAGAAGAUACUCAGGUCCCCUUCACUGAAGAAGUGACAGAUAGAAACUUGGUUUCAUGAAAAAGGGGUCUUAACCAGGUGUGGUUGAAAACAUGGUAGGGAACUUUGGGUAACAUAAACUUUAGAUAGGAGGUUAACCUAUUAGUUAAGUUUACUCUUGGGAAACCAUUUUAUGAUUUUGUUUUUACAUGUAAUUAUUUCCAAUAUUUUUACCCCUUGGCACUUGAAUCCCUC